rnacentral:rRNA from 1 species
AUGAACGCUAGCGACAGGCCUAACACAUGCAAGUCAGGGGCAGCACAAGGAGCAAUCUGAGGUGGCGACCGGCGCACGGGUGAGUAACACGUAUGCAACCUGCCUGUAUGCGGGGAAUAACCCGUUGAAAGACGGACUAAUACCGCAUAAUACUAAAUUACUGCAUGGUAAUUUAUUUAAACAUUUAUGGCUUACAGAUGGGCAUGCGCAUGAUUAGCUAGUUGGAGAGGUAACGGCUCCCCAAGGCAACGAUCAUUAGGGGUUCUGGGAGGAAGGUCCCCCACACUGGUACUGAGACACGGACCAGACUCCUACGGGAGGCAGCAGUGAGGAAUAUUGGUCAAUGGACGAGAGUCUGAACCAGCCAAGUCGCGUGCAGGAAGAAUGUCCUAUGGAUUGUAAACUGCUUUUGCAGGGGAAUAAAGUGCAUCACGUGUGAUGUUUUGUAUGUACUCUGCGAAUAAGGAUCGGCUAACUCCGUGCCAGCAGCAGC